AUUGAACGCUGGCGGCAGGCCUAACACAUGCAAGUCGAACGAGUGGCGGACGGGUGAGUAAUGUCUGGGAAACUGACUGAUGGAGGGGGAUAACUACUGGAAACGGUAGCUAAUCCCGAAUACCAUCAGAUGUGCCCAGAUGGGAUUAGCUAGUUGGUGGGGUAACGGCUCACCAAGGCGAAGAGCCCUAGCUGGUCUGAGAGGAUGAACAGCCAACCUGAGACUGAGAGACGGUCCAUCCGCCUACGGGCUGCAGCAGUGGGGAAUAUUGCACAAUGGGCGCAAGCCUGAUGCAGCCAUGCCGCGUGUAUGAAGAAGGCCUUCGGGUUGUAAAGUACUUUCAGCGGGUAGGCGUUACCCGCAGAAGAAGCACCGGCUAACUCCGUGCCAGCCGCCGCGGUAAUUC
rnacentral:rRNA from 1 species